rnacentral:rRNA from 1 species
UACAGAGGGUGCGAGCGUUAAUCGGAAUUACUGGGCGUAAAGCGCACGUAGUCGGCUUUGCAAGUCGGAUGUGAAAUCCCCGAGGCUCAACCUCGGGUCUGCAUCCGAUACUGCCCGGCUAGAGGUAGGUAGGGGGAGAUCGGAAUUCCUGGUGUAGCGGUGAAAUGCGCAGAUAUCAGGAGGAACACCGGUGGCGAAGGCGGAUCUCUGGGCCUUACCUGACGCUCGAGGCGACGAAAGCCAGGGGAGCAAACGGGAUU